rnacentral:rRNA from 1 species
AGUGAACGCUGGCGGUAGGCCUAACACAUGCAAGUCGAACGGCAGCACAGUAAGAGCUUGCUCUUACGGGUGGCGAGUGGCGGACGGGUGAGGAAUACAUCGGAAUCUACUUUUUCGUGGGGGAUAACGUAGGGAAACUUACGCUAAUACCGCAUACGACCUACGGGUGAAAGCAGGGGAUCUUCGGACCUUGCGCGAUUGAAUGAGCCGAUGUCGGAUUAGCUAGUUGGCGGGGUAAAGGCCCACCAAGGCGACGAUCCGUAGCUGGUCUGGGAGGAUGAUCAGCCACACUGGAACUGAGACACGGUCCAGACUCCUACGGGAGGCAGCAGUGGGGAAUAUUGGACAAAGGGCGCAAGCCUGAUCCAGCCAUACCGCGUGGGUGAAGAAGGCCUUCGGGUUGUAAAGCCCUUUUGUUGGGAAAGAAAAGCAGCAGGUUAAUACCCCGCUGUUCUGACGGUGCCCAAAGAAUAAGCACCGGCUAACUUCGUG